UCAAUCCCAAGAUGGAAUAAACAAAGUUUGAAAUUUUUACCGGUGGGAUAUCGUUUUUCUAUUUUAAUAUAAAAAGCGAAAGAAAACGGUGUUUUUUCUUAGGCAGCUUUAACAACGUGUAAACGCUAUUAUUGUUCAGAACACUAUUUUGAUUUUUAUUUACGGUGGGACGCCCCUCAGUCGCGGGGCCCGGGUACAUAGCACCAGCCCCCCCCGCAGAUGGCCGGUCCUGGCUAGUGUGAGUGUGAAAUUGCUUGCUAUCAAAGGAAAUUUUAAAACAAUGUUGAAAUAUUUGACUAAAAUUUAAGAAGAAAUGAUGUAGCUUUGAUCCUUUUAUUGGAAUAGUAAGCUAUCAUCAGAUUUAGAUGUGAGAUCCUUCCUAGCUCUGUUAUAUAUUGUUGCGACAUAAAUUAUAAAUAUUUCACUUAAAAGUAAUUCAAGGGUAGUUUAAUAAUUAUAAAUGUUAUUUUGUAAAUAGUUGUUAAUUCAAAUUGGCAACAGUGAUUAUGUUAUGCACUUUUUGAGUUGUUUUAAUAAGGAUAUUAGAAUUUGAAUGAAAAUACAUUGAUGUUACCAUGAUAUAUAAUGUUGUAAGAUUUCGUUUAAUAGUGAGUUUGUCUGUAUCCCAUUUUUGCUGAUUCACGAACGCAACAAUAUAAAGAAAAAUUCAGGAUAGCAAACUCAAAGAAUUCUUCAAGUAAGAAGCAAUAUAUGUCUAUAUGAAAUGUUUUGAAAGAUUGUGGAUUGGAAAAUAAGUCGUAAAUUCUCCGUUUUGGCACAAUCAUUUCAGGCACUGGUUGCAUAAACAAUGCUGUAUCUAGAACUGUAUGCAGUUGUGGCACAAACUUCUCCCAUCUUGAACUUUGGAAUCCGACAGCAGCGCCGCUGUAUUCGAAUCAGUUGACACCGAGAUCUUCUGUAAACAUCAACGCAUGGCCUUUGGGUUAGACUGUAACUGGAAUUUAAGACGCCUUUAAUUCUACAUAUCAUUUGUGUUUAUGUCCGUGAAGUGUGAAUAAUUGUUUCGUCUCAAAGAAUGUGGAUUAUUUUUGCAAAAGUGAUAUUAUUACUCAUCUAUACUGGCGGUCUUGGAUUAUAAGGCAACAAAUCAAGUUGUGACAAGAGUGCCUAAAUCUACCAAAGAUGAAAUGGAAUGAGCAGUUGCCAGUGCAAAAGAAACAUUUCAAACAUGGUCCAAUACAUUAAUUCUUACUCGACAGAAAAUAUCAUACUUCACUGUAGUGACUGGGUAUCUUAAGUCUUUGAGGUUGUGGAGUCACAUCCUUACAGUUGGGAGAAACUUUACCAUUAAUAUCUCGAGACAUGGAUACCACAUCGUAUCGCUUAACUCUUGGAGUGUGUACUGGUAUUUGCACCAUUUAAUUUUCCUGCAAUGAUAUCUUUUUGGAUGCUUCCUCUAGCAUUGGUAUGUGGUAAUACCAUGAUUCUCGCACCAUUGGAAAGAGAUCCAGGUGCUGCAACGAUUUUAAUGAAGUUAACAAAAGAAGUUGGUAUACCUGAUAGUUGUUAAUGUUAUUCAUGGUGCACAUGAAGGGUAAAUAUGUCUAUGAACGAGGCUCCAAGAAUGUCAAACGAGUGCAGUGUAAUAUGCUUGUAGGUGCAGCAGGUCAGCAUUGUAUGGCCUUAUCAACAGCUGUUUUUGUUGGAGAAUCACCAAAUGGAUUUCAGAUUUUACAGAAAGAUCUUGGACCUGUCAUAUCACCUAGAAGCUAAAAAGAGAAUUUGCAAUUUAGUUGAAUCGGAAAUAAAGGAGGGUGCCAAAUUGUUGUUGGAUGGAAGAGGCAUUGUAGUUCCAGGUUUUGAAAAAGGAAACUUUGUUGGUCCGACUAUUCUUUUUGAUGUGAAGGUACUGGAAAGUUCUUGUUUGACUUCUAUAUUUCUCACAUUUUUAUAUAAUAUAUAUUCUACUCAUGUUAGUAUGAUUUCAUGAAACUUUAAUUUUAACUUUUCCUUGUAUAUCUUCUAAAUUGAACUAUUUCUGUGUUUUUCAUAUGUUAUGUGGAUAUUUUGGAUUGGUUAUUACAAAUUCAUUUAUAAAUAAACUUGCGCAUAAAGUAAAAAAAGAUACAAAAAUUUCAAGGCAGUACUAAAUUUGGUUUAUAAAUUCUUGAGUUGGGGAAUUUGUUACAUAUUGUGCAUCACUGUCUAAUAAUUUUUAAAAUGCAGUAUAGUUUGAAACUGUCAGACAAGAAGUUACUAAUCAAAAUGUUGCAAUCUGUAUAAGAUAUAUAUAUAUAUAUAUAUAUAUUGUAGAUUGUCUGAUGUAGAUUGUUUUUGAAGAUCAAAAGCAUUGUCACAGUGUUUCCAUUUGUUCUGUACUAAUAUAUUUUCAGAUAAGAGUUUAAAAGAUAUCAUUUGGUUAA